GCAAACUUGGUCAUUUAGAGGAAGUAAAAGUCGUAACAAGGUCUCCGUUGGUGAACCAGCGGAGGGAUCAUUACAGAGUUAUCCAACUCCCAAACCCAUGUGAACUUAUCUCUUUGUUGCCUCGGCGCAAGCUACCCGGGACCUCGGUCACGGGCGGCCCGCCGGUGGACACACUAAACUCUGUUAUCUUUGUGAUUAUCUGAGUGUCUUAUUUAAUAAGUCAAAACUUUCAACAACGGAUCUCUUGGUUCUGGCAUCGAUGAAGAACGCAGC
rnacentral:misc_RNA from 1 species